GAGAGUUCUCUUGACCACUUCAUGAAGACUUACUUCAUUAUCUACGGGGAAACUCCCGAAUUCUCUAUGAAAAAUACAUAAAUAGGUUGAAAAGAAAGAGUAUUAGUUGGAGAUGUUGAAUGCAAUGAAUUGCAUAAAAAGCUAUCAAUUCCUUGACCACUUCAUCAAGUCUUAUUUUGUUAUUUCAUAAGGGCUUACUUCAUUGCUUUAAGCCUUGUUGAAGUGUUUGGGGGCUCUUGGGUUCACUUGGAAAUUACGUAAAAAGGUAGAAAUACAAGAGUACCAGGCGAUGCUGAACACAAUGGUUCACAACGCUUCAUCAAGGAUUUUUUCCUUGUUUUAUGUCUUACUAUAGUGUUUGAAGGAAUUCCCGGGGUCAAUUUAAAAAUUACACAAACAAGUAGAAGUGCAAGAGUACUAGCUGGAGAUGGUGAACUUGCAUGGUUCACAUGUAAAUCUAUCAAAGGUGUUUCGUAGAGUUACCUUGCCACUUCAUUAGCACUUACUUCAUUGUUUGAAGCUCUGUCGAAGUGUUUGGGG
rnacentral:lncRNA from 1 species